UCUAGUGACGAUGGCAAGGAGGGCACACCUGUUCCCAUACCGAACACAGAAGUUAAGCUCCUUAGCGCCGAGGGUAGU
rnacentral:rRNA from 1 species